UACAGAGGGUGCGAGCGUUGUUCGGAAUUAUUGGGCGUAAAGCGCUUGUAGGCGGCCUGUCAAGUCGCGUGUGAAAUCCCCUGGCUUAACCAGGGAAGUGCGCGCGAAAACUGAAGGGCUUGAGUGCCGGAGAGGGUCGCGGAAUUCCCGGUGUAGAGGUGAAAUUCGUAGAUAUCGGGAGGAACACCAGUGGCGAAGGCGGCGACCUGGACGGAC
rnacentral:rRNA from 1 species